AGUGCUGGAUGAGGGUGACAAAGCUUUUUUAAAGCUGUCACUGGUUUGUCGUCUCUUCCGGGACAUUGUUUGGACAACAAUCAUUCCGGGCCCGGGCACAUUUCGAGUGGCUUGACAGUGUAGUGCCAUGAAAACAUCACAGUGCUGCAUGUAAAGACGAGUUUCGCAGGAUGUACGAACUGCAGUGCUGCCAGAACUGUCAAGAAACUUAUAAAGACUACAUACUGGGCUACGUUGGGCAUGGGAGACGAGGGGAGCUUGUGGCAUUUUACAGCGAAAACGAGCACCCUGGAUUCUGCAGCCAGCUUCAUGAAUGGCUGGGUGUGUGAGUGGCUGGGUGUGUGAGUGGCUGGGUGUGUGAGUGGCUGGGUGUGUGAGUGGCUGGGUGUGUGAGUGGCUGGGCUGGGUGUGUGAGUGGCUGGGUGUGUGAGUGGCUGGGUGUGUGAGUGGCUGGGUGUGUGAGUGGCUGGGCUGGGUGUGUGAGUGGCUGGGUGUGUGAGUGGCUGGGUGUGUGAGUGGCUGGGUGUGUGAGUGGCUGGGUGUUGCAUUUUUAAAUAAAGACUUCUGUAUUUGUUUGACCAAAGCAUGUAACCAAACAUUUUAAAGGCUAGUGUGCCAAUAAAUGCCAAUAAAGAUAUUGUAUUAGCUUGGACAAA